ACAUCUAUCAAACUCUUUAUCUCUCAAGUGGCUGUCCCUGAUAAAAUUAUGAAGUGCCAUACAAGCAACAAUGAUCAAAGCUUGCUUGUCACAGGGGUAAGAUGGCAUAUGCAAUAAAAUACGCCACUUCAUCUUUAACACACCAAAUGCAUGCUCAAUGACAUUGCGUAGCGACGAAUGGGCAUGGUUAAAGAUUUCUUUUUUACCAUUGGGGGGAUCACCAUGGAUAAAUUCUGGCACAUGGUAUUUUGUCGACUUGUAUGGAGCUAGAUAUCCCUCACAAUUUGGAUAACCUGAAUCAA
rnacentral:lncRNA from 1 species